rnacentral:lncRNA from 1 species
GGGCUGUGCUCGCCAGCCGGCAAGGCCCCCCCCGGGGGUGCUGCCCCCGCCAGCCCAGCACCGUCUGCCUCCCUGCCCCGGUGGGACCGGGCACAGCUGAGCCCCGACCCCGGGCACGGCCUGGCACCGGGGGUCACGGGCACGCAGCCACCCGCGUGGCCAGCUGGUGGAGGGCGGGGGGGGGCAUGAUUCCAGGUGCCCCCCAGAUGCCAUGGGGCCGGGAGUGGCAGCAGGAGCCUGGCAUGGCCCCCAGACCCCCAGGGCUGGCUGUGUGGCACGGCCAUGGUGCCAAGCCCCCUCCUCGGCCCCGCGCCCAGGCAGCCUGUGGGGGCAGGAUUGGCUGNNNNNNNNNNUUGCCCUGCACCCCAACCCCAUCUGCCCUGGCUCUGCCCGUGUCCCCGCUGCCUCGCCGUCCCCGUGCUGUGCCACAGGAGUGCGGGUGGCCAGAGGGACCCAUGUGCCACCCCCGUGAUGCCAGGUGUGGGGGGAGGGGGGUGAGCAGAUGGCGCCAGGGUGGGUGCCGGCGGUGCUGGGGGGGUCGGGGAGCCGUUGCCCGGGGAGCGCCGUUUGCCAGCCAGGUGCCUGGCGUUGCCUCCUUAUCUGGGAUUAAACAAACUCUCCCCAGAUCCGGCGCCAGGCGCUGCCCCUCUGCCCGUGGGACCGACCCUCCCCUGCUCCCUGGCCCCCCCAUGCCCGCUGCCCCCCUCCCCAUGCUGGGCGGUGGGGGGCACUCAGGCCAUGGGGGUGAAGAGCCCCCCCAAAAGCUGUCCCCAGGCUCCCCUUGCUCUGGUGGUGCCGUGGCCCCCGGGAUCUCUGCCCAUCGGGGUGUCCAGGCCAGGCAAACCUGGGGGGGGGGAGCACCCAGCCGGUGCCCCCAAAGCAGGGCACAAGGUGGCACCUCCUUUACCCCCACCUUGGGGCACCCCCAACACAUCCCAGCGCAAAGUGGGACCCACCGGGGUGUCCCCCUGUCCCUCUGUGGCUGGGCCUGUGCCCCCAGCGUGGUGAAUCCUGGCAGCCCCAGUGCCCGCGGUGCCCAGCCCCUCGGGAGCGGGGUGCAGCCCGCCCCCCCCUCGUUAGCCGCUUGGCUCUUAUCACCUGCCGCUAAAUUACACAGCACCGGCCCCUGAAACACGGGCAGGUGGCCUUUGGGAGCCAACAGCAGCCAUUGGCGGGCUGCCUUUGCCCGGGGAGGGGGACGGGGAGGGGAUUUGGGGGACUGCCCGGGUUGGGGGGUGCUGGGGGUGGACCCCGGGGCUGCAAUAGGGACC